rnacentral:misc_RNA from 1 species
GAUGAAGGAACGUAGCGAAAUGCGAUAAGUAAUGUGAAUUGCAGAAUUCAGUGAAUCAUCGAAUCUUUGAACGCACCUUGCGCCCUUUGGCCAUUCCGAAGGGCAUGCCUGUUUGAGUAUCAUGAACACCUCAACUCUUCAUGGAUUUCCAUGAUGAGCUUGGACUUUGGGGGUCUUGCUGGCCUGUGGUCGGCUCCUCUCAAAUGAAUCAGCUUACCGGUUUUUGGUGGGCAUCACAGGUGUGAUAACUAUCUACGCUUGUGGUUUUCCACCAGGGUAACCUUCAGCAGUGGAGGUUCACUGGAGCUUACAAAUGUCUCUCCUCCGUGAGGACAGCCCUUUGAAUGUUUGAUCUCAAAUCAGGUAGGACUACCCGCUGAACUUAAGCAUAUCAAUAAGCGGAGGA